AACCUCCAGAGCACAGAAGGAGCUCCCUCCUGAGAACAGCCCAUUCAUUCCUCUUUGGGUUGGUACCUUGAGGAAUCCACACGUCUGUCAGAAUGCAUUUCAGCUAACCACGGAAGAGCUGCCAAAACAGAAUUUCUCUCAAUCUCGAGAUUUGAAAGUUCUUGGUUGCCCUCUGCUGGGAACAAUGCCACAUUAGUUUCAAGGCAGCAAAAUAUUUAGAAUCUACGGCUUCAAACUUGGUCGUCCCUAUUCUUCUCCUGAUUGGCUGGAUUGUGGGCUGUGUCGUAAUGAUUUAUGUGAUCUUCUCUUGAUAGAAGAAAGAAGAUUUCAGACUGACAUCUUUUAGAAGACCCAAGAAGAGAAAUGAAAAUGACUAAUCAUUAAAAAUAUUGCAUCGAUAA